rnacentral:rRNA from 1 species
ACUCCUACGGGAGGCAGCAGUGGGGAAUAUUGCACAAUGGGGGAACCCUGAUGCAGCCAUGCCGCGUGUGUGAAGAAGGCCUUCGGGUUGUAAAGCACUUUCAGUAGGGAGGAAGGUAGUGUAGUUAACACCUGCAUUAUUUGACGUUACCUACAGAAGAAGCACCGGCUAACUCCGUGCCAGCAGCCGCGGUAAUACGGAGGGUGCGAGCGUUAAUCGGAAUUACUGGGCGUAAAGCGCAUGCAGGCGGUCUGUUAAGUCAGAUGUGAAAGCCCGGGGCUUAACCUCGGAAUUGCAUUUGAAACUGGCAGGCUAGAGUCUUGUAGAGGGGGGUAGAAUUUCAGGUGUAGCGGUGAAAUGCGUAGAGAUCUGAAGGAAUACCAGUGGCGAAGGCGGCCCCCUGGACAAAGCUGAACGCUCAGAUGCGAAAAGCGUGGGGAGCAAACAGGAUUAGAUACCCUGGUAGGAUAGCG